CUCUGUGACUGGCUUGCUUGAUGGUUAGGGUCUGAUCGCUGCCUGAGACACCAUAUCGGUACUCCUCAGAGUUGGUGAUCACAGGAUCUGGUUUGCCACUGAAAGGAAUCUUGAUGCUGACCACUUCACCUCGGAGAGCAUGAACUGCUCCCAUGCCUUCAAGAGUUUUAGUGGGUAACCAGGAUGGAACUGCGGUGUUGCUUGCAGGAGAAGCUUACUACUGGUUUCUACUUCUCCAACCUCAUUGGUGGCUAUGCAGGUUCAUUGAAGUGGCAUACAAUUGUUGACCUUUCAAAUCUUGUUGGGAAAUAUUUUUAAAAAGAAACCAUUGCAUUAGAGGGAAUUACUCAAGGAAAGUGCUCAGUUCACUCCAUCUAACAUCUGCUGAGGCACUGUCUCCAGACUGUCUAUAUUCAACCCAGUAUCCAAGAAUUUCUUUACCACCAUCACAUUCAGGUUUCUCCCACUGUAGAGUGACACUAUCUUUGGAUAUUGAAAGAAUCUCAAGUUCUCCUGGUUGGCUUGGUUUAUCUGAAAUAUUUUAAAAUAAUGAAAAGGGAGUCAGCUUUACUGGUGAAAUAAAAGGACCAAACAU
ensembl:lncRNA TTN-AS1 TTN antisense RNA 1